UACAGAGGUGGCAAGCGUUGUUCGGAAUUACUGGGCGUAAAGGGCGCGUAGGCGGUCCCGUCAGUCCCUUGUGAAAUCCCCCGGCUCAACUGGGAACUGCAAGGGAUACAGCGGGGCUUGAGUUCGGGAGAGGGAAGCGGAAUUCCGGGUGUAGCGGUGGAAAUGCGGUAGAAUAUCCGGAGGAACACCGGUGGCGAAGGCG
rnacentral:rRNA from 1 species